UACGUAGGGUCCGAGCGUUAAUCGGCAUUACUGGGCGUAAAGCUUGCGCAGGCGGUUUUGUAAGCCAGGUGUGAAAGCCCCGGGCUCAACCUGGGAACUGCAUUUGGGACUGCAAGGCUGGAGUACGGCAGAGGGAGGUGGAAUUCCACGUGUAGCAGUGAAAUGCGUAGAGAUGUGGAGGAACACCGAUGGCGAAGGCAGCCUCCUGGGCUAGUACUGACGCUCAUGCACGAAAGCGUGGGGAGCAAACAGG
rnacentral:rRNA from 1 species